UCUUCUCACACUUCUCCUCCUUCUCCUUCUCUUUCCUCACACUUUUCCAUUCUCCUUCUCUUUCUCUUUCCUCUACUGAUCUGUUUCAGAAUGAGUAGUCCCCUCUUCUCCGACAACGUUGGUGGUAUUGUUGAGUCCGGAAACUUCUCCCUCACGAUCCAUAUUUCUCUUGGUUCGAUUCUCAAGUGGUGGUGUUAAAAAGUUCAUGGUUUUUAAGGUCAAAUUUACCAUGAAAACUCUAAAUCUAGACUUUUUAUGGUCGAAUUUGGCCUUAUUAAACCAAAUUCGAAGUGAAAUUCAAAGUCAAUUCGGGGUUUGAGGAAAGUGUUAGAAGGAAUGAUGGCUAUUUUUAAAGAAAUUUCAUCUUGGAUGGAAAAGCUAUAGUAGAGUUCCUCUUAUUGCUUGGGAGAUCAUUUGCAGACCCAAGAAACAAGGUGGACUAGGAGUUCAAGAUUAUCUUUCUUAAAAUGUUGCAACUAUGGGCAAGUACGUGUGGGAUAUUGCCAUUAAGAAUGAAAGUCUUUGGUUGAGAUGGGUUAGUCACCAUUAUAUUAAAGGCAUAAAUUGGAAGAGAGUUGGGUGCCCUGCUCAAGCUAGUUGGCGAUGGAAACAAAUAUAGAAGAUGAAGGAACAAAUCAAGAAUGGCUUUGUUGGCAACAUUUGGCAGCAUUAUGCAUCUGGCUAUACAGUUGCAUCUGCUUAUAAAUAGUUGCAGAACUCUAAUCCAAAAGUUGCUUGGUGUAAUUGGAUCUGGAAUAGAUUCAAUAUACCUAAACAUCGGUUUAUUGCCUGGAUUGCAGCUUGGGGGAGAUUGAGAACUAAGGAUAAGCUGAAGCUGUAUGGUGUAGUAGAUGAUGAUAGUUGUCCUUUAUGUGGUACCUGUUCAUAGUCUAAUAAAUCACAUUCUUUUUUAGUGUGAUUAUAGUCAGAAGCUGAUGAUGCUACUACAGGACAGACUGUAGAGAAGAGAACUUCAGUAAAAUGAUAGCAUGUAAUGAGUGGUGUUAGGGUGCAAGAAUAGAUUCUAGAAACAGGUGUGCCAAAGUUUUUGUGCAGGUUUGAUCUAUAAUAUCUGGCGGCAAAGGAAUGAGGCCAUUAGGGGAACAAAAAUUCCGAGGCAUGAAGUUCUUGUAAAUAGGAUAGGUUUUGAUGUGUAUCAUAGAAUUUGUAGUGUUAGUUUUAGUAAAGUUAAGGCUAGAGACUUAGCUUGGCUAAGGGGCAUUUGCCUAGGGGAUUAGUAUCCUCAGUGUAAUGUUUGGUUUGUGUGAUUAAUAAAAUCUUGCCUUUUCUCAAAAAAAAAAAAAAAAAAAAAA